UGGGCUGCAGGAGACUGAAGAGAA
rnacentral:piRNA from 1 species